ensembl:lncRNA
AAUUUAGUUCCUGCCCAGGAGGGAUCUAAAUGCUAAACACAGAUGGAUCAGGGGCCCAGAAGAAAGCUGGCAAACAAAGGGCAGCUGUUUUGAGAAAUCAUCAUAAUUAAAGCUACCUUUUCUUGUGCUUUUUCUAGGAAAUGUUGAGUACUUUGCACACAUUAUUUUAUUGGAAUAAGGCGUUGUUCCUUCCAGGAGACGGAAGCUCAGAGAGGUGGAUCGAUUAAGGUCUUAGCCGCCUCACUCAGGAUCUCCCUUGCAUCUUGCAGGAUCUUUCCUUGUGGCCCAAGGACUCUCCAGUUGUGGUGGGCGGGCCUGAGAACGCCGGGCUUCAGUAGUCGUGGCUGGCGGGCUUAGGUUGCUAUGUGACAUCUUUGUUCCCUGACCAGGGAUCUAACCCUCGUCCCCCAGAUCGCGAGGGAUCACUGGACCAGUGGGGACGUCCCAACACUGGCUGUUCAUUCUGGGCAGACCUGAGUGCUGAUCUCAGCCUGGAGCUGGGAUGGGGGCCUUCGGGAUUUGGCUGCUCCCGCUGAGAACCGCGGGUCCUCCUGACUCCACUAGGGACGGCUCCUCCCUCCCCGGGGCCGACUCCGGACAAAGGCUGAGACGGCCGGCUCCUCACACGUAUUUGUAGGCUUGGCCACAAUCUCCACACGUUCAGGAUGGUGGAAAAAACAGGCCCCAUGUGUGAAUUUUACACCUGCUCUCUCUUUUUAAGAGCAGUUUCAGCAUUUUUUGGAAACUGCUUUUUCUACCUUCCAGUUCAUUCAGGCCAGCUGGGAGAUUAAGCCUUUGCUCUCCCAUCCCUCUCUUCCUCGAAUGGAAUCCUUCCCUCCCUCCCCUGCUUUUUUCCUUAAGACUCUCUCCACCAAGGGGACAUCUACCUGCAGUGAAAGGCGUUGGUGCUGAGGCACAGUCUGAUCAGGUUUUAAAAUCUUUAAUUGGAGGAUAAUUGCUUUACUCUGUCGUGUUGGCUUCCAGUGUAAACAGCGUAGAUCAUCUGUUUGUCAGUGGCUGUUGUGUUCAACUCUCUGUGAUCCGUGGACUGAGCCACCAGGUUCCUCUGUCCAUGAAAUUCUCCAAUCAAGAUUACUGGAGUGGGGAGCCGUUCCCUUCUCCAGGGGAACUUCCCGACCCAGGGAUCAAACGUGGGUCUCCUGCAUGGCAGGUGGCUUCUUGACUGUCUGAGCCCCCGGGGAGGCCCCCGACCAUCCGCAAGGACACACGAAUACCCUCUUCGCACUGCCCGCUACCAGUCUGAUCGGUUCUGACAAAUGCAUAUGACAAUGUAGGUCUCCUUGUCGAGGUAUGGACCGUGCCAGUCACUCCAGAAGUUCCCUUUGGUCCCUCCUCUCCCUCAUGCGCCUGGAGGAGGACUCUUGCCAGACGCCUGGCCAAACACCUGGGUGGCUCAGCGCCUGUCCUCCAGGGUCCUGGGGCGAGGGUCCCCCAGCAUUAACCUUCACCGAGCUGCCUGGUUUCAGAGUGGGGACCCAGGUAAGGAGAGAGAGGCUAACGAGAGCUACGGAAACAGUGCAGCAGAGGGCUUUCCUGCCAAGGGGAAGGUGCCUGGAGGAGGCCCGGAGCCCAGCCCGUCAGGAACGCGUGUGUAAGGCCUGGCCACGACAAUGCACGCGGCUGAAGAGAAGAGGGACUGCCCCGGACAUGGUUAAAAACUGUGAGGAGGAUGAAUGAAAACAAUCGCAGGAGGGACGUCCCCGGGGGUCCAGUGGCUACGACUCCUUGCUGCCAGUGCAGGGGCCCAGGUUCCGUCCCCGGUCAGGGAACUAGACCCAAAUGCCACCGUGAAGAUGCUGGAGCGGGCAAAUAAAUGACUAUUAGAAACAAUGACGGCAAUAGGGGAGAGACUAUUGCAAUAUGGAGAGAGACAACCCGCCUGAAUGCAUCGCAGAUGGGCUGGGAGGGGAGGGGAGGUGGUUUCAGGAGUGGAUUUAUAGCCAAGGAGCAGAGUGAGGCAGGCGAACCAUUUGUCUUUAACAGUGACCUCUACCAGGAGGGGGAGGCUUGCCUGAUUCACUCAGGACAUUUAUGUGCCCCGGCCCAGGAGUAUUUCCACAAAUAGCAGAGCAGGCGGCCCUAUGUGUAAAUUAUUUUGGGGGGAAGUUGGGAGGUAGAGAUGGGGAGGGGACGGUGGAACGCAAAAUUGAAAUGUAAGCCAUGUUCAGAGUUAAGGUGAAUAUCUGAGAAUUAACUUGAUCUUCUGAAGGGGAGCGGAAUAUCCUACCCCCAAAAUACGCCAUUUUGGCAUAUUGAUUAUCUUGAACUAAACUUACUUGAGAAACGGCCAGUGCAAGAAGGACACUCCGCCUUUCCUGGUCUCCGGAAAGCAGGAAAUAAGCCUCCCAGAUGGAGUGUGCCCCCUCUACGAGGAGGGUCGAUGGUGGCAUCUUAGCACAGGAGGGAAUUCAGGGCCGAGAAGGCGGUAUAAGGAAAUCUUGCUGGACUUGUCUGCUGGCUGAGCAGCAGCGCAUCUGCCUGCAAUGCAGGUUGGGAAGAUCCCCUGGAAGAGGGCACGGCCUCCCACCCCAGUCUUCUUGCCUGGAGAAUCCCAUGGACAGAAAAGCCUGGUGGGCUACAGUCCACAGGGCCGCACGGAGUCGGACACGACUGAAGUGACUGAGCCCGCGUGCAUAAGCGAACCUUGGUACUUCCUCACCGAUUUCCCAGCCCGAGCCCAGGCUUCUGUGUCUUGUCCUUCACAAGUUGUCUCUUUGUCUAAAGGCAUAGAGGCGUCCUGCUCUUGUCACUGUUUUGAGUCUCAUACUUUUCUGAGCUCCUGUAUGUACGAAAUUAAAUUUGUCUUUCUCCCGUUCAUCUGUCUUACGUCAGUUUAAUUAUUAGAC